UAAAUUCCAAAAAAUAUUAUUAUUAAUAAUAAUAAUAAUAAAAACACAGCCAAUUUUAAUAUAGCUCCUUUUCCCAGCCGUGAUGGACUAAAUUUGUAUUUCCCAGGCACUGAAUCAUCUUCACUAUAAUGUUAAAAUACUCCAAGUGAGUGACAGGAGCACUGUGUCCACACGUUUCUAGAUGAUGUCAUGCACUAAUUAGCAUAUUCAUUACAUCAUUACAUCGUAUUUUCAUUCUGCCUAAAGUCAGCCCUUUACAGCCAAAUUCCCAAUAAAGCUGUUUUCAUUUACGUAUUUUUUCUGUUUCUGUUGUCAGACAACAGGACGAGUAUGAAAUAGUGACUGAACCACGGCCCAAUAAGAGACUACAUGUUCACCAGCAGUCACUUUCAAACCUUUUCCAAGCUGCUGAUCUACACUGCUAAAAUUCUGAUUUUAUAACCGUGACGUCAUCUGUCUAAACCACCACACACAUAAGUUAAAGACAACGAGUGCACUGUGAUUUCGUGCUAUAUUUCCAUGUAAAAUAAUCUCUCAGAGAGAAAGUUAGAAGUGAAUGAAUGUGCUGCUCCUCUCUGCCCCUCACUGAACAGAGUAGCCGCAGAGAGAGGCGUGUCUCUGGGGGGAAAGCAGGACCUCACACUCACCGGGCAGUACUGGCCAUUCUCUUCUACAGAAAGUAGCUAAGGUCAGUCUCCCCGGCGCGUGCACAGACAUAUAUAGUCAAAUCGGAGCAGCGAGCCAUAAGAUCCGUUAUGACGUCACGUUCAGAGUUCUGCGGCGUUGUGCUGGAUGGAGCUUGACUGCCCUCGUGUGUCCAAACUCAGGAACGGCAGUUUCCCUGAAGGGGUAUUCUGUUCCAAGUUUGUGAUCUGGAUGUUCAGCUGGUCUCAGAUCAAGCAUCCUCCUCUGUACUGACUCCACUAUCCCCAGCUUCAUCCCAUUCAUCAGAUUCCACAAUUGUCCUGGAGUCCACAAGAAAGAAGAGGAACCCAACAGGGUUAAUGGAGCAGAAUGAAGCAAGACAGAAAGUUGAUUGUGUUCUGAGGGUCAAUCCAAAGGGUGAGGAAAUCUCCAAGGAGUAUGAAAAGACCAAAACACUAGCAGAUGUCACACAUAAACAGAUGGUGAACGCCCUGGUUGCAGACAUGUUAGAGCUACAUGGGAGGAUUCCAUCCUCAAGUGUGAGGACCAGUUAUGCACUGGGAAUUGUGACACUUUUUCCAUACCUCCAAGAUCCUUUCUCCAAACAUGGAUAUGAACACUACUAUGAUCCUUUAGGGUAAUACUGGCUUCAUUGCAUGGAGGAUCAAGACAGUUCAACAUAACACCUGUGCUGGCUCCCGGUGUCAUUCCAAGACUGUUCUUCAGGAUGGUCCAAAAACCAGACGAGAAUCUCUGUUAUUCUGUCAACAGCGAUUUGGUGAGGAGUGCAGGGAGGCGAUAUCUACAAUACGAUAUUCCACUGAUGAAUCUGUGGUCAAACAGAAGAUGAGAGCGACUUUCCAGUAUCGGCAGAAGAUGGUCGGUGAGGAUGCAUCAUCUUCAGUCCUGGAUUUGUUCACUCGUUUCCUUGCUGUAUCUGGAUUGAUCGACCACGAUUUCUCCAUGAUGUUUGGUGACGAAGUGUCCAAGAAGUUCCUGGCAAAGUGGACAAUAUUCUUCAAGCCAAAAAUCAUUGCAGACUGCAAGACUCUUAAGAAUAUGGGCGAGCUGCUGUCAGGAACUGAACCUGAAUCUGAGGACUACAAUGGAUGGGACAGCGAUAUGUCCUCAAUCCUUUUGCAGCUGCAUCUGCUCCCUCUAACCUCAAGAGGCCAGAAAAAAAAUAUCCAAGAUCAGUUCAGCUCAAGCAACCAGCCAUCUUGUGAGCUAUCUUAAGGAAGGAGCCAGUGUGACUACCUUCAUUGAGAGUGCUGACACAAGACAACCAUUCCUCCUCUGUAUCAGUGAGUGAAAGAAGGAUAUCCCAAAGUUCUACAUUAUUAUCGACCCAAAACUGAUCCCAUGUAAGGCGCACACGUCAGUGGCAGCUUUUGAUGAACUGUUCAAAGUUCACUAUGUCUUCAGUUUCUCAUAUGAUGAAGCUCUUUGAGAUUUCUACACAUUUAUCCAAACCAACAUCUACAACAUCGAUGUCGGAAGAGCAAAGCAGAGCCCGCGUGUUAAAGAACUUCGAGCACGAUUGCUGCAGCGAAAUUAACAGCCUUGAAGAUGUUCACGUGUUUUGUAUGUAAAGCAGACCUCAGAACUUGUUUGGCUCUUCGUCAACAUUUAAAAUUUCAACAUGGUUUAUAUCCUAGCAAAAAGUUACAUUUAAAAUGUGGAGAGCCAAGUCACCUGUUAUCAUUUCCAAAACCAUGCACUGUUCUCGCAGCAAAAGCACACUUUACAGAUUCUACUCUAUUACAACGAUUUUGAAAUUGCUAACCCUCUAGGUUCCAAGAGGGGGAUCCACAAACUUGGUUGUAUCUAUUUUACUCUAAAAAAAAAAAAAAAAAAAAAUCUUCCAUCCAAGUGUAACUCUGUACUGAUUAAUGUACAUCUUGCAGCUCUAUUCUACAUGGAAGAUCUUAAGACAUACGGUUUUGAUGUGAUACUAAAGCCCCUUAUUGAUGACCUGAAAAUCUUAGAAGCCAAAGGCAUACAGCUUCCUUGUUUUGAACCACCAUGGUUUGGCUCAGUAAUUCAAGUAACAGGAGAUAAUUUGGCUUUAAAUGUCUUACUGGGAUUUGUGUAAUAUUUCAGUGCAACUAAUUUCUGUAGGCUUUGUUUAAUUAGUAAGGAAGAAGUUCAAUCUAUAUUUUCUGAAGAUCAUUCUGGCUUAAUUUUCCGUUCCAAAGAGGUUCAUACUGAACAUUGUAAGGCACUAAAUGAAAAUCCUGAACUGCGGUCAAUAUAUGGUGUGAAAAAGUCAUGUGUGCUCAAUUCAUUACAGUAUUUCCAUUAUACUGAUAACUAUGCUGUUGACAUCAUGCAUGAUCUGCUAGAGGGUGUGGUACAGUAUGAACUUAAACUGGUUUUUGAGUACCUUGUUAAACAGGAUGCAGAGCUUUAAUUAUGGUUACACAAACCGUAAAAACAAACCAAGUGGGUUAAAAAUGGAUGAUAAGGGCAAACACCUGGGUUUGAAUGCCAUACAGUCAUGGUGUCUUCUGCACAACACUCCACUGAUAUUUGGUGGUCAUUGAAAGGAAUAACAAUCACUGGAACUUUCUCCUACUUUUGAUGCAGAUUGUCAAUAUAGUGUUUUCCUACACCAUAACUGAUGGGAUGAUAUGUUACUUAAAACAUCUGAUCUGUGAUCACCAUACUCUAUUCAAAGAAUUGUUUCCUGACAAGACGUCGAUUCCCAAGCACCACUUGAUCUGAGAUGCAUAAAAAAAUUGGCCCCCUUAUCCAUAUGUGGUGAAUGCGAUUUGAAGCUAAGCACCAUAUUUUCAAAAGAUGUGGCAAAAAAUUUCAAGAAUCUCAUUAAAUCAUUAGUAAAGCAACAUCAACGUCAAUUGACAUUUAACUAUUAAAAUUAUUGUUUUAGAAGGUUUGAAUUUGGUCCUACAUCAAAAACCAUCUGUAACUUGCAAGGUGGGGAAGAACUCAGUCAGACAUUAUAUUUAGAAGCCUGUUUGAGUGUUACAAGUACAAAGUGGGUCAGACAUUAUGGUACUGAGUAUCAGGUUGGUGUGUUCAUAUGCACUGCAUGUACCUAUGAUCUCCCUGUGUUCAAAAAGAUCUGUGAGAUAAUAAUAUAUGAAGAGAGUGCUUUCAUUAUUUCCUGCAAUGUAAAAAUGAUGUACUAUGAUGACCACUUCAAUGCAUACUGUAUAGAAGAUAACCAAAUGGAUGAGUUUCUGUCAUCUCUGUGAAUGAACUGACACACUUUAGGCUAUUUGACCAGCAGUGCUCUAAUGAGAAUAAUCAAAGAGAGUACAUAGUGCCCAAUUGUUAUAUUUAGAAAGACUUGACCUGAGGGGUCAGUAAUGUUAACGCCCUUGAAAAAAGAAAACUAUUAAAGCAACCAACUUGUUUUUUUUC